UUCAUCAUAAACAACAAAGAUGCAGUGAAGCAGGGUGCGAACUAUGGGGGAGCCAGGGGGAGCUCGGCUCCCCUUAAUAAGACAUAGGC